GCCAGAAGAGUGGCUGUGUAUGGAAUGUGAUAUACACAUUCAUUUUAAACUCACACUCCAUAACAGGGAGUCUUGCAUUGAUGGGAUUUACAAGCCCAUUGAGCCAACAGUGUGCUGCGUAGAAAAGGAUGGCGCAUACUGUCUGGUCAAUCAAGUGCGACUGUUGCCUACAGUGAGACCUUCCCAGCUAUGCACCUGUGACCCUGAAAACAUUACAGAGUCAGCUGGCAGAGCAGUUAUCUUGGUUUCCAUAAAUGGUCGGUAUGAUUUGCACAUGCCAAAGUUGUUGUGCAGAUUGUGCCUGGCACAGUGGACACCUGACAGAAGCGACCUUAUAAAGAGUGGCUACUGGCCAGCAACUGUAAAUGCUGAGACGUUGUUUUCAGUUGAUGUCUUCAGCACAUUUGAAGAAAUGAAAACUGUUGCACCCAGUUUGUCCAGGCAAGCUUUUUUUGCGGAUGUUAGAGAGGAGAACUUCUCACUUUGGAAGGGCUGGGAAAAUACAUGGAGACAUAUUCCAGAGAAGCUUCAUGAAGUAUACAUUCUGCCAGUUCCAGUGUGACAAAAUGGCCUGUGUUAAACAGUUCACCUGUCCUGCAUGUACACCGAACAUGCUGGCUCUCUGUGCAGAUGGCAACCGAAAACAAUACAGAUUUCGACAGUCAAAGGGGUCAGAGGAGCCAUAUUUUGAUGGCACUUUCAUUGCCAAGGAUUGUGACGUACAUCAUUUUGUUGAGGACGUCCAGAGCAAAAUGAAAAGU